AAAUAAUUUGGCAUCAUUUGAGCAUCAAAUUAAAGAUUAAUUAUCCGAAUCAAUUAUUUUAAGCUCGGGUUCAACUAGUAUUAUUUGGAGGCUUCGCGGACAGAUAUUCUAGCUUUGACGUCCAGAUCCAGGUACUAGUAGUCAACGUUGACGUGGUUCUUACCUUUCAGUACUGGUUUAGAGCGGGGUGAGCUUACUAUCGUCUGAGGUUGAUCCUCCUCUAUCUACUCUAGUUAGUCUUUUUCACUCGAGACUACUUGUGUAUAUUUUAGAUUUUUGUCUAGUACUCUAGGUACCCGUUAGUAGUGGCUCUAGUACUGACCUUAUCAGGUCUUGGGAGGGAUUCAUUUGUAUAGCUGGUCCUUUUUUCUCCUCUCGUUUUGAUAUAAUACAUAUGCUUUCUUCU